rnacentral:lncRNA from 1 species
UUUUGGUUUGGUUUACAAAGCAAUAUUAGCAGAUGGGACCAAACUUGCAGUUAAGAAGCUCUCGGGAGAUUUCGGCCUGAUGGAGAGGGAAUUCAAAGCUGAGGUAGAAGUACUAUCAACAGCUCAACAUGAAAACCUGGUGUCCCUGCAAGGUUAUUGUGUACACGAAGGGUUUCGGCUAUUAAUAUAUUCCUAUAUGGAGAAUGGAAGUUUAGACUACUGGUUACAUGAGAAAGAGAAUGGUCCAUCCCAGUUAGAUUGGCAAACUCGACUGAAGAUUGCUAGGGGAGCAAGUAAUGGAUUGGCUUACAUGCAUCAGAUAUGCGAGCCACACAUUGUUCACCGAGACAUCAAGUCGAGCAAUAUCCUUCUUGAUGACAAGUUUGAGGCACAUGUUGCAGAUUUU